AGGAAUGUAUAGCGAAAGCUAGCUGCACUUAAUUUAGCUAGAAUUGGUGUAGUAUUGACUGUGUCGAAUAAAGUUCUAGAUGGGUUAUGAUGAUGACAUUUCCUAUCUAUGUGUCUUGACCAAAUUACGUGCCAGCAGUCGCGGUAACACGUAGAAGACUAGUGUUAUUCAUCUUUAAUAGGUUUAAAGGGUACCUAGACGGUAAAUCAAGUCCAAUAAGGAUACUAAUUUGACUAGAGUUUAAUAUAAGUGGGCAUAAAAGUACUGAUUAGUGGAGAGAUGAAAUUCUGUGAUACAAUAUAUGGCACUGGUAAAGGCGAAGGCAUCUCAUUAUGUAAAAACUGACGUUGAGGGACGAAGGCUAUGUGUAGCAAAAAGGAUUAGAUACCCAAGUAGUCUUAGCAGAAAAUUAUGAAUGUCAUAGGAUAGAGCAACANAAAUAAUAAACUUUUUUCUAUAAAUGAAAGUGUAAGCAUUCCACCUCGAGAGUAAUAUGGCAACAUAGGAACUGAAAUCAUUAGACCGUUUCUGAAACAAGUAGUGAAGUAUGUUGUUUAAUUUGAUAAUCCGCNAAAAACCUUACCACAAUUUGAAUAGAAAAAAACUUUUUUCAUACAAGCGCAGCACGGUUGUCUUCAGUUAAUGUCGUGAGAUUUUGGUUAGUUCCAUUAAAUUAACGUAAACCCUUACUUUAUUUUUAUAUAAAGUAGUUCACCG
rnacentral:rRNA from 1 species